CAGGCACUGUAAAAACGUAUUACGAUACUGGAAUCAUCUACUAUCAUUGCAAAACAGUUAGAUGAUUACAAAGAAUGCGUUUUUUAUGGGACAUACAUGUAAUAAGUCUAUCUACAUAUCACAAAUAAAGAACAUUUACAAAAUAUCAAAGAUUGCUACUUGCACAAUAAAGAUGUGGUAUACUACCAAGUAGAGUAGAAACGGGACAAUACACGGGGGAAGCAUUAGGUGACAGUAUAUGUUCUCCGUGUUCUUCAGACUGCGUAGAAGUUUCUUUCUCCAUGAGCCUUAAAAGGUGGAAUUCCCUAUUUCUGUCGUGGCUUUUUCACGUCUGGCGUUUGUGCACACCAAAACAACUGAGGCCUACAACCUGGGUAUGAUCUUGUGAAAUUGUGACACUUGAACUCUGAACUCUGAAUGUGAAAUAAGUACGUAUGCUUAAUGUGGAUUGACUGAGGCAUACAACCUGGGUAUGAUGUUUUGAAUUUGUGACAUUUGAACUGUGAACUCUGAAUGUGAAACAUUAUGUAUGCUUGAGGUGGAUUGACAUUUAUGUGCAUAGUCAUGCAGUUGAGUUUUGUAGAUAACAUCCAAUUUUACUUGGUAUGCUUAAAUAAAUUUCCAUAAAUAAGUAACCAUUCGCGGUUUACCCGGGGUGGUCAUUUUUUAUGCAGUCUAUAUAUAUGUGAACCUUUGAUGAUUUGAAUGAUGUUGUAUUUGCAUUUGAUCAUGUUGUGUGGGUUUGCCCAUGUGUUUUGUGUUGAAUGGCAUCCCACAAAACUUUUAAAAGCCACGUCCAAUGUUCACCAAAAUAAAUCUAAACAAAGCA